rnacentral:misc_RNA from 1 species
CAAGAAGUUGCGAAAGGCUCCUACAAACCAUCGCGAACGUUAUCCACAUAGUUGCUUCGGCGGCGCGGCUCCCUCACGGGGACGCAGCCCAGCCUCAGGAGGUAAGGGCAGCCGCCGGAGUGUCCGUAUACAACUCUGUAUUAGUACCAGUGGUAUCAUCUGAGUACUAAUACUAAUAAGUAA